CCAGACUCCUACGGGAGGCAGCAGUGGGGGAUAUUGCACAAUGGGGGGAACCCUGAUGCAGCGACGCCGCGUGAAGGAAGAAGUAUCUCGGUAUGUAAACUUCUAUCAGCAGGGAAGAAAAUGACGGUACCUGACUAAGAAGCCCCGGCUCACUACGUGCCAGCAGCCGCGGUAAUACGUAGGGGGCAAGCGUUAUCCGGAUUUACUGGGUGUAAAGGGAGCGCAGGCGGCACGGCAAGCCUGAUGUGAAAGCCCGCGGCCCAACCGCGGGACUGCAUUGGGAACUACCGGGCUGGAGUGCCGGAGAGGUAGGCGGAAUUCCUAGUGUAGCGGUGAAAUGCGUAGAUAUUAGGAGGAACACCAGUGGCGAAGGCGGCCUACUGGACGGUGACUGACGCUGAGGCCCGAAAGCGUGGGGAGCAAACAGGAUUAGAUACCCCUGUAC
rnacentral:rRNA from 1 species